rnacentral:rRNA from 1 species
GACGAACGCUGGCGGCGUGCUUAACACAUGCAAGUCGAACGGAAUGGCCCUGCUUUUGUGGGGUGCUCGAGUGGCGAACGGGUGAGUAACACGUGAGUGACCUGCCCUUGACUUUGGGAUAACUUCAGGAAACUGGGGCUAAUACCGGAUAGGAACUCCUGCUGCAUGGUGGGGGCUGGAAAGUUUCGGCGGUUGGGGAUGGUCUCGCGGCUUAUCAGCUUGUGGGUGGGGUAGUGGCUUACCAAGGCUUUGAGGGGUAGCCGGCCUGCGUGGGUGACCGGCCACACUAGGACUGAGAUACGGCCCAGACUCCUACGGGAGGCAGCGGUGGGGUAUAUUGCACUAGGGGCGGAAGCCUGACGCAGUAACGCCGCGUGCGGGAUGACGGCCAGCGGGUUGUAAACCACAUCCGCCUGAGACGAAGCGUGAGUGACGGUAAUGGGUAAAGAAGCACCGGCUAACUACGUG